UCCUACGGGAGGCAGCAGUGGGGAAUAUUGCACAAUGGGCGCAAGCCUGAUGCAGCCAUGCCGCGUGUAUGAAGAAGGCCUUCGGGUUGUAAAGUACUUUCAGCGGGGAGGAAGGGAUGGUGCUUAAUACGCGCCGUCAUUGACGUUACCCGCAGAAGAAGCACCGGCUAACUCCGUGCCAGCAGCCGCGGUAAU
rnacentral:rRNA from 1 species